rnacentral:rRNA from 1 species
GAUGAACGCUGGCGGCGUGCCUAAUACAUGCAAGUCGAGCGAACAGACGAGGAGCUUGCUCCUCUGACGUUAGCGGCGGACGGGUGAGUAACACGUGGAUAACCUACCUAUAAGACUGGGAUAACUUCGGGAAACCGGAGCUAAUACCGGAUAAUAUAUUGAACCGCAUGGUUCAAUAGUGAAAGACGGUUUUGCUGUCACUUAUAGAUGGAUCCGCGCCGCAUUAGCUAGUUGGUAAGGUAACGGCUUACCAAGGCAACGAUGCGUAGCCGACUUGAGAGGGUGAUCGGCCACACUGGAACUGAGACACGGUCCAGACUCCUACGGGAGGCAGCAGUAGGGAAUCUUCCGCAAUGGGCGAAAGCCUGACGGAGCAACGCCGCGUGAGUGAUGAAGGUCUUCGGAUCGUAAAACUCUGCUAUUAGGGAAGAACAAAUGUGUAAGUAACUAUGCACGUCUUGACGGUACCUAAUCAGAAAGCCACGGCUAACUACGUG